AACAAAUUUUGCGUUUAUCGUUAUUCAGAAUUAUAACGUCAUACAAUUUUUGCAUUUUAUUUUUCAGAAUUUAAAUAUUACACGCAUUUACGCACUUUUUUCAAAGUAACAGGGCAUCACUAUAAACUAUUGGUACAAUUUAAAUACCUAAUGCUAUAAUUCAACUAAUAAUUUGAAUAUAAAAACUUAAAAAAAAAAAAAAUCAAAAACAAUAAAGUUGAUUGUCCGAUUAUAUUGAGUACAGUUACAAGUUCCUUAUAACAUGUUCAAGACUUGGUGCUUAUACACAAUAUGUCAAUCGAUAAACAUUAACUGCUUUAAUCGACAAUUUAUCAAAUUCAUCAAUGCUUAUAAAGUAUAUUCAAUAACAUAUUGAACUUCUCGAAGAUCGGCUGAUUACUGCAACUAUGAUUCACUACCAAACUGCACAUGGUCCAUGACUCUCUUCUAACCAUAGAACACUGACAACAUGACUGCUGCAGAGGAUGAUAAUGAGUGAAAUUUGAUAGAUACCUAAAUGUUGUGAAGAUAAAUUGUUUUUAGCCUAUUACACAAUCGGCUAAUAAAUGUAUCAUGUCUGCAUAAAAAAUAAAUUACCUACAAUAAC